GCGAAAGUGGCGAAAUUGGUAGACGCACCAGAUUUAGGUUCUGGCGCCGCGAGGCGUAAGAGUUCAAGUCUCUUCUUCCGCACCA
rnacentral:tRNA from 1 species